rnacentral:rRNA from 1 species
UAGGGAAUCUUCCGCAAUGGACGAAAGUCUGACGGAGCAACGCCGCGUGAGUGAAGAAGGAUUUCGGUUCGUAAAACUCUGUUGUUAGGGAAGAAAAAAUGUAUAGUAACUAUAUACAAAAGAGACGGUACCUAACCAGAAAGCCACGGCUAACUACGUGCCAGCAGCUGCGGUAAUACGUAGGUGGCAAGCGUUGUCCGGAAUUAUUGGGCGUAAAGCGCGCGCAGGUGGUUUAGAAAGUCUGAUGUGAAAGCCCACGGCUCAACCGUGGAGGGUCAGUGGAAACUAAUAAACUGGAGUGCAGGAGAGAAAAGUGGAAUUCCUAGUGUAGCGGUGAAAUGCGUAGAGAUUAGGAGGAACACCGGUGGCGAAAGCGGCUUUUUGGCCUGCAACUGACACUGAGGCGGGAAAGCGUGGGGAGCAAACAGG